CCUACGGGAGGCAGCAGUGAGGAAUAUUGGUCAAUGGACGAGAGUCUGAACCAGCCAAGUAGCGUGAAGGAUGACUGCCCUCUGGGUUGUAAACUUCUUUUAUAAAGGAAUAAAACGAGGCACGUGUGCCUUUUUGCAUGUCCUUUAUGAAUAAGGAUCGGCUAACUCCGUGCCAGCAGCCGCGGUAAUACGGAGGGUCCGAGCGUUAUCCGGAUUUAUUGGGCUUAAAGGGAGCGUAGAUGGAUAGGUAAUUUAGCGGUGAAAGGUUGCGGCUCAACCGCGGAAUUGCAAUUAUGACUAGGUAUAUAGAGUAAUGGAGAGGAUAGCGGAAUACCCAGUGUAGCUGUCAAAGUCGUAGAUAUUGGGUAGAACCCCGGUGGCGAAGGCGGCUAUCUGGCCAUUUACUGACGCUGAGACUCGAAAGCAUGGGGAUUAAACCGGAGUAGAUACCCGAGUAGGC
rnacentral:rRNA from 1 species